UUCUCUCUGUAAAGGAAGAGGAACCUUGAUGUGUUAUUCAGGCUGACUUGCAUUCAAGGUUUACUCAGUCCCUCCACAUGUAAUCUGGACCAAUUUCUUUUUUUUUUUUUUUUUAAAGAUUUUAUUUAUUUAUUUGACAGACAGAGAUCACAAGCAGGCAGAGAGGCAGGCAGAGAGAGAGGGGAGGAAGCAGGCUCCCUGCGGAGCAGAGAGCCCGAUGCGGGGCUCGAUCCCAGGACCCUGGGAUCACGACCUGAGCCGAAGGCAGAGGCUUUAACCCACUGAGCCACCCAGGCGCCCCUGGACCAAUUUCUUAACAUCUAGCAACCACAGCAUUCUUUUCCUAGUACUAGGAAAUUUUGAGCACUCAGUAGGUGCUCCAUAAGUCAAGAUUUUUUUUCUCUUCCCUUUAAAGAUCUGGCAGUUAAGAAACUAGUCCCUGCCUUCUGUCCCCUGCUAUUUGCUCAGGAUCAUUUGUACACAUACAGUCAAGGAAAACCUCAAGGUGAAGACCCCUCCUUUCCUGCAAAUGCAAUUCCAUGUUCAUCACCAUGAGGGAGAGAAAGCAGGAAAAAGAAGAGAAUGUUAAUGUCUUGUCUUCUUUCCACCAAAAUAUUGGAGAGGGAAGAGGGAGACACCGCCCACCAAGAUGGGCCUGUUUUCUAGCUCCUUUUUAAAGAGGUGAUUCUUGGUCAGAGACCUAUUUGAAGUGAUGGUUGAGCUUUAUGUACACUGGGGAGAGAUUCCAGGUGGGGGUGAUAGUGAGUGCAAAGGUCCUGUGGUAGAAAUUAAAUUGAUUUUUUGAGGGAUGUCUGUGAAGCUAGCAUGGCUGGAAUAGAGGGAAAGAGAAGUAGCUGAGGUCAGAUACCACAGAGCAGAGUGGAGAAUCACUAUUGCCCAUUGUGAGAAGCCCACUGGGGAAGGAAGCAGACUUAUAGGACAUCCUAGCUCCUGGAAAUCUACCGGUCAGCCCAUCCAAAGUUGUCUGAUCAGUGGCAAAUUACAGUUAUUAUUAAUUGACCUGAGGCAUUGUCACAUCCUGUAGGGGUUUCUAGAUCAUCAAGUGAGGAUUAAGCUAAGUAGAAUUUUAUUUGUACAUCUAUCCUUCAGUUACUAAAAUGUGAUUAUGGCUUCAGAGAAUGGGCUUGGAGAUUGGAUUCCUGAAUCUGUAGCUCAGCCCUGCCUCUUACUAGCUGUGUGACCUUGGGCAAUUUGGUUUUCCUCUCCGGGCCUCACUUUCCUCCUCUAUGAAAUCAAUUCCUACUUCACAGAGCUGUGGUGAGAUUUAAACACAUCUUUAUAAGUAACAUGCCUAGAACUCUACCAGGUACAUAGGAAGCACUCAAAAUGUUAACCAUUGUGGUAGGCAGAAUAAAGAUGCCCACAUCCUAAUCUCAGGAACCUGCGAAUGUGCUGUGUUUCAUGGUAAAAGUGGUAAUUAAGGUUGCAGGUGGAAUUAAGGCUGCUAAUCAGCUGACUGGCUUGGAUUAUCCAAUUGAGCCCAAUCGAAUUGCAACGGUCCUUACCACAAAACAGGGAAGCAGAAGCGUGAGUGUCCCAGUCAGAGAGAGGUUCCUCCGUGAAAUGCUGCUGGCUUUGAGGAUGGAGGAAAGUCAACUAACCACGAAAUGUGGGUGCCCCUGGAAAAUGGGAAAGACCAGGAAAAGAUUCUCCCUGAAGCUUCCAGAAAGCACAUAGCCCUGCCAGCACCUUGAUAUUAGCUGAGCAACACCCAUUCCAGACUUCUGACUUCUAACGCGAGAAAAUACUAAGUUUGUGGUAAGUCAUAAAAUUAGUAGUAAUUUGUGACAGCCACCGUGGGAAAUGAAUACAGCCAUUAUUAUUAUAAAUAUGGCGAGGAUGAGGAUACAGACUCCUGUGUGGCCUCAGAGAGCAGGGCGGCCACGAACGGGAGAAGGUUCCAGUCAGACUCUACUCCGGGGGGUCCCCAGGCUGAGGAAUCCGUCAGACGGGGAGGGGGGCAACCAUUGCACUGGACUGGAUAAAUUUGAAGCUGUAAAGCCCUUAUUCUAGAAUUUUGAAAAUUAGUGAUUAGUGUAGGAUAUAUUUGUCAGUAUAGUCUAGGAAUCAGAAUAUUUAUCAAAAUACUCCUUUCUCUCUUCUGUCUGCAUAGACAGUCAUGCUUUGAAAUGCAAUCCAUUUGCAAUACUUUCUUUGCUAUUUCCAAUUAGAAAAAACACGAAUUCCCUCUUCCGUUUACACCGCUCAUAGCUGGGCUAUAGGCUGCCUUUAUUCUAAUUCUCAAUAGUUUUGCAAAGUGUUUUUUGUUUUUUGUAUUUGUGUGUUUUUUUUUUCCCCCCUGCACAAAUUCCAUUUAGCAGUGAUGGAAAUAACACAAGAUAGUGGCGUUUGGGACCCCAUUUCAAACCCCAUCACAGAGGCAAAUAAUUAUUUGCAUUUUUGUUUCCUUCCAGUCAUUGUCCCUCUUACCAGACUGUCUUCAGUGAAUAGAAUUUUUCCCAUGAAGUGGGCAUUUUUUAAUGUUAUUUACAGAUGAGGAAGCUGAGGUCAGAAGGCUUCAAGAUAUACUGACUGUGGAACCAGAAAGAGCAGGGUGGGAAGCACCAGUGCACAGUAAGUGUGUUAAGGGCUGGUUUUCCAAGGGCGGAGACGGGGGGAAGCCCUGAUUUGCAGCAUUUGCUGUCUUCCAUGCUGUAAAUGUCCCCCCCCCCCCCGGGGGCUGAUUCAUGGGCAAGCCACUCAGGCUUGGGGAGUCUCAACUUCCUUUUCUGCAAAACGAACAGAACUCCAAACCAGGGCAGUGCCUGGUUCAGAGGACCUCCAGAACCCCCAGCGCCCUUCAUUCAGAAAAGAGAACCAGCUCCAGAAAGAGGGCAUGUCUGAUGAGAUGAUCCAAAGGCCACUGUACCCAAAGGCCAGCUCCAAAGCAAAUUAUUUAAUGUGGGAGACCUGCUGAUUCAAGACCUCAGAGUCCUUGGCUUAGUCUCAUCACUAUCCCCAGAAAUUCAGCUCUGGCCCUCAGCUUACAAACCCAACUCAAGCGUGGAGCUCACCAACCCUGCCCAUCUUUGCAAGCAGCUCUUCCUGCCCAUGCUUGGCCUGUCCCUGGUGAAGGACACCAGGCCUGCUUCCUCCAGCCCCUGCCCUGUUGCUGUUUGCCAGUGUCCCCAGCUCAGAGGCACCUGUCCUACCUGUCUGGGGCGCUGGGUACAUAAUCCAGAUGCUGGAAGGUGGCACAGCCCCCUGGUGGCUGUGGAGGAGGUAACCCCCGAUGCCUUGGUGCCUUGGCGGAGGUUGGUGACUGCCUCCAGCUGCCCUCUCGAGCAGGUAGGUGUCCCCCAAUAAGGGAACUCUCAGGCUGCUUUAAUGACAAGGUAAAUGCACACUGCCCUGUGCUCAUUUUUAAUCUUCUGAUGUGCAUGAAACAGCGUGGAAAUGGUAGAGUUGUUAAAAAAAGAAAUCGCACAGUGAAGUGGAAUCACAGCUCCCGGAUGGGUGAGAAUUGUCAGGAAUUCCAACACCGCUGCUCAGAGUCAACGCUUAAGUGUUCUCGAAGCGUCGGCCACCCCCAAGCUGUUCUCAGCAGUAGCAGAGUUGCUGGGUCCACGCAGAUCAGGGUGGUGGGGAGGAGGAGGGUAGGAACCGCCCCAAAGGGGCCAUUUAGUCUAAUAGUUUUUCCAUGAAAGUAGGCACUUGGAGGUGUGAGGGAUACCAUACAAACGAGGCAGCCAUGGCCCUUGCCCCAAUGGAGCUUUGCAUGGAAAGGCGAGGAAAGAGACUAUAAACAAGUAAACUGGUAAAUAUGUAAUCUCAACUUGGGAAAGAACUAGAAAGGCAAAAAGCAGAGUGGGGUGACAGAGAAUAAAGGGGUGUGUGGUGGGGGUGGGUUUCAGGAAGAAGCUUCUAGUAAAAGCAAGAUUGUCAAGGAAGCUUUAUUUGAGUUAAAAGGCGAUGAACCAGUUGGGCAAGAUGCUGGGGAAAGAGCCCUAGGCAAGGUCAAAGGCCUUAAAACAGGGGUCAGCAUACUUUUUCUGUAAAGGGUCAGAUUCCACACAGGUAAGGCUUCACUGUCCAUAAGUCUCUGUAUUGUUGAUGUUCUAAUAAAACUUUAUUUACAAAAUAGACGCGGGAAGUAUUCUGCCAAUUUGUGCCCUAAAACAAGAAACCACUGGGAGCAUGUCAGGAAAGAAUGAGGCUAGCCUCGGAGGAACCAGGAGGGAAGUGUCUCCAGGUAAGGAGAUGACGAAACAAAGGUGGGGUGCGGAGGGUGUAAGGAGUUUGGGCCAGAUUCUAAACACCGUGGAAAGCCAGGGGAGGUUUUUAAAGCAGUCAAAGGACAGGAUUGUGUUCACACCUUCACAAGAUUACUCUAGCUGCUGUGUGGAGAGAGGAGAAAGAACUGGCCAGCGGAAAGACAGGAAGCAGGAAGACCCACUUCCCCUCUACUGCAAUAGGUGGCGGGAGAGGUGUGGGCGGCCUGGCCUCCGGGUCAGGGUGAGGAGACACGGGGGGCUUUGAGAUGUGAUUCAGAGGUAGAAUCAACAGGAUUUGCAGAUGGAGGUAUGUGGGGCUGGAGAGUGGGAAGACCUCAAGUACAGGGCCCGAGUUUAAGGCUGGAGCAAGUGGGUGAGUCUACUGGGCUGUAGAAGAUGGGAAUGGAGGGUCUGGAGUCAGGGCAUCCAUCCAAGGCUGGAGAUCAAGAGUUUAAUCUCAAAUAUGCAAACUUGAGAUGCUUGUCAGUCUUUCCAGGUGAGAAGACCAAUAGUAGGUAUGUCAGGAUCCCAGAGGAGAAGUUGAGACAACACGCCUCCUUCCCUCAUUCCACUUGGACCUCUCUACCCUGGGCUUUGGUUCUUGUCCUGACUCCUAGCUGACCCAGCCCCAACCACAGGAUGACCUCCACUCCAUCAUAAAGGCUGUCACUGUUGUUGCGUCACCUGAUGCUGCUCAAAGACCCUCCAGGGAUAAGGGUCAGGCUCCAUCAAGACUGACUUCCAUGACACCUGCCAUGCCAGGGACGACAGUGGCUCCAGAGUUUCGGUCCAGCCCACCUAGACCCCUGGAGUCCUCCUGGAGGGGCCCAGUGACAUAACCAGAGAGCACAAAGGACUUCGUACUGCAAGAGGCAAACUUUGACCAAGUGAAAAAGAGCAGGGAAGGAACUGGCAGAUACACUGUUUACCUUCCCUCCUCUGACAUUUCUGAGACGUAGUCAUCUCCACAAUACAAGAUGCCACCUUGUACUUCCUUCCUUCCCUGCUUCAUUCCCCCUUUCCCUCAGUCCACCUUCCCUGGGAUUCUAUCCUCCAAUAAAACAUUAGCCCCUGAGCUUUGCCUCAAAUUUUCUUUUGUAGGGGGCUGGGGUAACAUAAGGGGUUUAGAUGCCAAAUAUGGUAAGCAUCACUUCUUUAUUUUAUGGACAUAUCCAAAGCACUUGUUACAUGCUAGAUAUUGUUCUAUGUGUCUUGCAGAUAUUAAUUUAGCUUAUCCUCAAAAUGAUCCUAUGAGGAAGAUAUUAUGGCUAUUCCUGUUUCACAGAUGAAAAAACCAUGUUAGAGUUUAAAUAGCUGGGUUGAUGAGUGCUUUCCAGGAGAAACAUAAUGCAAGUCACAUAUGUAGUUUUAAAUUUUCUUGCAACCUUGUUAAAAACACAAGAAGAAACAGGUGAAAUUUACUUUAAUAAUAUUUUUAUUAAUU